CCUUCAUGGAUUAAUUUCCCCACCAGUUAGCCUGUCAUUUCCAGGACGUAUCUCCACCCCGCACCAACUACAAUUGUAAGAGAUUUUUCUUGCGCACUCCUAUGCAUGUGAAUAACAUGUAGCGUAAUUCUGCUUCUUACAGAAGUAUUGCCAAAGGUAUUAUUUCCAAUAUUAUUUGGUUCAUUGCUGGUCUUUUUAUACGUGCAGCCCCUCCCUUUCUACCAUCCUUGGCCAUCUAGACCUAGUUUUCUCUCUAUUGGUCCCUCCCCGGGGGUCCCCAGCAUUGCCUUUGCUCUUGCUCAGUUGAAGCCCCCUCUUGUUGCGAGCACAGGCAGUGUUUUGGGUGAUGGCUCUCAAGCCUGUCACCCCAAACCAAAGCGAAACACAGACCUGGUACCGAAGACACUUCGUAUUCCCAAAGCUGUGUGCCAGGGUGUAUGACACCUUCCCUCCCUCCCUUGUCAUGUAAGGUAUGAUAUGCAGUCGCAUUUAUUCUGUACUUUUAUUCGUAUUUAAAAUAAUUAAAGAUGGACCCACACAACUGGUGCCCAACCGAGCACGGGCCCUCCAUCACAAGCUUGCUGGACA
rnacentral:lncRNA from 1 species